rnacentral:rRNA from 1 species
CUACGUGCCAGCAGCCGCGGUAAUACGGAAGGUCCAGGCGUUAUCCGGAUUUAUUGGGUUUAAAGGGAGCGUAGGCCGGAGAUUAAGUGUGUUGUGAAAUGUAGACGCUCAACGUCUGACUUGCAGCGCAUACUGGUUUCCUUGAGUACGCACAACGUUGGCGGAAUUCGUCGUGUAGCGGUGAAAUGCUUAGAUAUGACGAAGAACUCCGAUUGCGAAGGCAGCUGACGGGAGCGCAACUGACGCUGAAGCUCGAAGGUGCGGGUAUCGAACAGGAUUAGAUACCCUGGUAGUCCGCACAGUAAACGAUGGAUGCCCGCUGUUGGUACCUGUUAUCAGCGGCUAAGCGAAAGCAUUAAGCAUCCCACCUGGGGAGUACGCCGGCAACGGUGAAACUCAAAGGAAUUGACGGGGGCCCGCACAAGCGGAGGAACAUGUGGUUUAAUUCGAUGAUACGCGAGGAACCUUACCCGGGCUUGAAUUGCAGAGGAAGGAUUUAGAGAUAAUGACG